UACGUAGGAGACGAGCGUUGUCCGGAAUUACUGGGCGUAAAGCGCGUGUAGGCGGAUGAGCAAGUCUGCUGUGAAAGCUCCUGGCUUAACCGGGAGUGGUCGGUGGAAACUGCUCGUCUGGAGGACGGUAGAGGUAGGUAGAAUUCCCGGUGUAGUGGUGAAAUGCGUAGAGAUCGGGAGGAAUACCUGUGGCGAAGGCGGCCUACUGGACCGGACCUGACGCUGAGACGCGAAGGCGUGGGGAGCGAACGGG
rnacentral:rRNA from 1 species